CGGGGGUUUCACCAUGUUGGCCAGGAUGGUCUUGAGCUCUCGACCUCAAGUGAUCCUCCCACCUUGGCCUCCCAAAGUACUGGGAUUACAGGUGUGAGCCACUCUGCCCGGCCCAAUAUAUAUUUUUUAAAACAUUUUUCUUGCGUCUUUGAUUUCCUUGUAGGUUAAUAUAGUACAUUUCUUUCCUUUCACAUGUAGCUUUCUUGGGUAGGAUGAAUCACCCAUAUCCAAGGAUAGACUGCCAAGUGUAACCCUCUUGUAAAAGUAGCUUAUAAACAUCAAUAGAAUCUGGUUAAGAGGAGGUUAAUACCUGCAGAAAUAACCACUGUUCUAAGAAUCUAGACAAUAGAGGCUGAUGGUGUCAAUGAAAAGAAUCGAAUUCUGUAAAAUAUUUAAAGAGGUUUAUUGUGAGCCAAAUAUAAGUGACCAAGGCCCAUGAUACAGCCCCAGGAGGUCCUGAGAACAUGAGCCCAAGGUGGCUGGGUGACAGGUUGAUUUAUACAUUUUAGGGGGACAGAAGUUACAAGAAGACAUCAGUCAAUACAUGUAAGGUGUACACAUUGGUUCAGCCCGGUAAGGUGGGACAACUUGAAGGCGGGGGCUUCCAGAUCAUAGGUGGGUUCAAAGAUUUUCUGAUUGGAAAUUGGGGUUGAAAGGGUUAUUAUCUAAAAACCUGGAAUCAAUAAAAAGGAGUGUCAGGCCAGUAAUAACUCUUUGAACAUCAAAAAAAUUCAUCUAGUUGAAGCUCCAGAUCAGACAGGCUCGUGCUCUCUCAUUCUCUAUUUAUAUCUAUUUUGAGACAGGGUCUUGUUCUGUUGCCCAGGCUGAAGUGCAGUGGCACAGUCUCUGCUCACUGCAACCUCAGCCUCCCAGACUCAAGCGAUCCUCCUGCCCCAGCCUCCCGAGUAGCUAGACUACAGGCAUGGGCCACCAUGCCCAGCUAAUUUUGUUGUUGUUGUUGUUGUUGAGAUGGAAUCUCACUCUGUCUCCAAGGCUGGAGUGCAGUGGCGUGAUCUUGGCUCACUGCAGCCUCCGCUGCCCGGGUUCAAGCAAUUUUCCCUCAGCCUCUUGAGUAGCUGGGACUACAGAAAGGCAUACGCCACCAUGCCUGGCUAAGUUUUGUAUUUUUAGUAGAGACGGGGUUUCACUAUGUUGGCCAGGCUGGUCUCGAACUCCUGACUUCAAGUGAUCUGCCCACCUCAGCCUCCCAAAGUGCUGAGAUUACAGGUGUGACCCACUGUGCCCAGCCAAUUUUUGUAUUUUUUGUAGAGACAGGGUUUCACCAAGUUGCCCAGGCUUGUCUCGAACUCCUAGGUUCAAGCCAUCUGUCCACCUCAGCCUCAUAAAGUGCCAUCAUGGCCAGCCUCAUAUGUUCUUUUUUGUUUUGUUUUGUUUUUUGAGACAGAGUCUGGCUCUGUCGGCCAGGCCCGUGUUGGCACGAUCUCAGCUCACUGCAACCUCCGUCUCCUGGGAUCAAGCAAUUCUCCUGCCUCAGCCUUCCGAGUAGCUGGGAUUACAGGCGUGUGCCACCACGCCCGGCUAAUUUUUGUAUUUUUAAUACAGAUGGGGUUUCACCAUGUUGGCCAGGCAGGUCUUGAACUCCUGACCUCAGGUAAUCCACCUGCCUCGACCUCCCAAAGUGCUGGGAUUACAGGCAUGAGCCACCACACCCAGCCCUAUUCUUAUUUGUUACUUGGUUUUAGGAUCAGGGUAUGGGACUGCAUCUUUCCAAAUAUCAACUUAUUAAAAAAAAAUCUUCUCAGCUGGACAUGGUGGCUCACGCCUGUAAUUUCAGCACUUUGGGAGGCUGAGGUGGGCGGACUGCCUGAGGUCAGGAGUUCGAGACCAGUCUGGCCAACAUGGUGAAACUCUGUCUCUACUAAAAAUACAAAAAAGUUAGCCUGACGUGGUGGUGUGCACCAGUAAUCUCAGCUACUUGGGAGGCUAAGGCAGGGGAAUUGCUUAAACCAGGGAGGUGGAGGUUGCAGUGAGCCGAGAUUGCACCACCGCACUCCAGCCUGGGUGACAGAGUGAGAAUCCGUCACACACACACAAAAAAAUCUUCUCAAGGACAGGCAUGGUGGCUCACACCUGUAAUCCCAGCACUUUGGGAGGCUGAGGCAGGUGGAUCACUUGAGGCCAGGAGUUGGAUACCAGCCUGGCCAAAAUGGCGCAACCCAGUCUCUACUGAAAAUAUAAAAAUUAGCAGGGCAUGGUGGCGCAGGCCUGUAAUCCCAGCUACACCAGAGGCUGAGGCAAAGAAUUGCUUGAACCGGGGAGGUAGAGGUUUCAGUGAGCUGAGAUCACGCCACUGCACUCCAGCCUGGGUGACAGAGGAAGACUCUGUCUCAAAAAAAAAAAAAAGUAUUCUAGUUGACUUGAUAAUUAUGACUUUGAGCCAGGGACCGAUUAUGCAACAAUAUAACACAAUUAGUUUAAUAUAUGAAUUUAAUCCAAUCUGUGAAAAGCAUUUUUCUUUUCCUAAAGGGCCAUUAUAUUAUAGCGAAUAAUGUCUAUCUCUUGGAAAGGAGCUUUCUUCUGUAGACUGUCUUAUCUAAGUCUGGCUCUUUUGAUAAACAUCCACAAAUGGCCAAACAUUUAAAAAGUAUAGAGUUCAACAGUCUGUCUGAUUAAGCAAUACCAACUUGACAUUACUGAUCUCCAUUCAAUAAUUUCAAGUCAAUAGGGAUUGCCUCAUGUGCACUGCUCGGGUCAGGGAGAGAAAUGGGGGAGGGCGGAUUCUUGUUCUUUGACAGGGUAAACUGGAUAAUCUUGAAACCUAUACUUUGGGAGCAAAAUAUGUGGUUCUAAAUUAUCUCUCCUCCUCUUUCUCAAGUUUCCCCAAAAGAACUUGAGAAUUCUCUUCAUGUUCCUGAAAAAAACUGUGUUAAGGAGGAGAGGAGCAGGAAUCAGAAGAUGGUUCCAAUUCCUUCUCUGGUCCAAUUUCCUUGCGAUCAAAUGAUCUUUGAGGUUGUUCCAUUGUCUUUUUGAACCAUUGUUCCUUCCCUAGUAAAAUGGAGUGAAAAUCAUUUUACUGACUUGCUUACUUAACAAAUUUUUGUGGGGCUCAAAAGAGAUGGUGUGGAUGCCAGUCUCUAAAUGAGCAAACUGCAGCUCAUCUAGAACCUCACCUGCAAUAAACACCAGCCCCUUACAAGAGCCCCAAAGCCUCAGCUGGAGAGACAACUGUUUACACAGAAUACAGCUUGCUUUCUUCCUCUAAUUGGCUGCCUGAGUUCUAACCUAUGUUUUAAAUUUGUUUUAAGACACAGAUUGUAUUUGGUCACAUGAAAAUGCCUUAAAUAGGCAAUCUAUAAUUAGCUCUGGCUGAGUCUCAUCUCCCAAAGUCACUACUGUUGUCGUCAUCUUUUUUCUUUCUUCUUUAAUGAACUCUUCCCUUUUUUUGUCCCAGAACAAGCUUCUCGCUUACAUGCCCUUUACAAAGAAAAUUUCCCUGGCUGGCUGCCAACGGUUUCUCUGCCCACUUCCAUUUUAAGCAAUUUUUAUGAGUGUCCCAUCUCUUCUCAAACAAAGGCAGAUGGCAAAACUUGCUGGUUUACUUUUAAAGAAAACUUGACCCAGACUGUUAUAAGCUAAGAAGAGGCUUUGUGAAGUCACAUGGCCUGGGUUUACCCAUCACCCCCUGAUAAGCACUCACAGCUGAUUCCCGUGCAAACCCCAGCAUCUCACACUGGUUUCAUAUGGGCCAUAGGAAGCACCUUCCAAAGUUUGAUGUGUUCUUCAACAUCUAUUCCCAUGGCAGAUGACCCAUUUUGACCCAAAGGGCCCCACAGUUCUCUUUCGGCUCCUGCUAGUUCUGCAAAGCCUCAGCACUGCUUUUUCUGUAGGCAGUUAAUACUAAUGCUAAUUCAACAGGAAGUGGUAUGGGGGUACAAGAGGCAGGAUGUCUUCCUGUUGCCCAGUUAUUUACAAAAAGGCAGAUCUUCUCUCCAAGACUUCAAACGUUCCCCACAGGACUAACUUGUGCUCCUUUACAGGUAAUGAGCUAAUAAAUUAUUUCUGAUCUCAAAGCUGUAUAACAACUGAAUUUGUUCAAAAGCCAAAAAAGUAGUAGAAAUACAGUCUAUACUGCCUGGUGCAGUUGCUCGCGCCUGUAAUCCCUGAACUUUGGGAGGCCGAGGUGGGUAGAUCACUUGAGGUCAAGAGUUCGAGACCAGCCUGGCCAACAUGGUGAAAUCCCUUGUCUCCUAAUAGUACAAAAAUUAGCCGGGCCAUGGUGGCGGGCGCCUGUAAUCCCAGCUACUCAGGAAGCUGAGGCAGGAGAACUGCUUGAACCCAGGAGGCAGAGGUUUCAGUGAAAUCACACCAUCGCACUCCAGCCUGGGCGACAGAGCGGACUGCUUCUCAAAAAAAAAUAAAAUAGAUAAAUAGGCCAGGCGCGGUAGCUCACGCCUGUAAUCCCAGUGCUUUGGGGGGCCAAGGCGGGCAGAUCAUCUGAGGUCAGGAGUUUGAGACCAGCCUGGCCAACAUGGUGAAACCCCAUUUCUACUAAAAAUACAAAAAAAAAAAAAAAAUUAGCAGGGCGUGGUGGUGCGUGCCUGUAGUCCCAGGGAGGCUGAGCCAGGAGAAUCACUUGAACCCAGGAGGCAAAGGUUGCAGUGAGCUGAGAUCAUUCCAUUGCACUCCUGCUUGGGCAACAAAAGUGCAACUCCAUCUCAGAAAAGUAAUAAUAAUAAUAGAUAAAUAAAUGAAAUACACUCUAUACUAAACCCACACACCAAAAGAAUAAAGAAAUGCUUCCUAUCAUAGAACUUAGAUCUGUCAUGGAGUCAAAGAUUUUAGAGUCAAAGUGACCCCAAGGGGCUAGGCUCUCUUUGGUUAAUAAAAGUUUUCUUUCAAAACCAGAAAGAAAAAUGAUCACUUUCUCCUUAUUUGCCCCGAGAAAUUCACCACUAAAAAAACAGAUUAGGAUCAAUAUCAGAUGUGCCUUGAAUCUCGAGAACAUUGUGACUCUAGUUGAUGCACAAAGCAUGGGGCAGACAUUUAACAUGCUCCCGCAGCCAGACGUUCUCAAUGUGCCUGGCAGCAAUGCCAAGUGGGUAGGUUCACAAAAGCAGAAACAGAAACCCUCUGGGUUUAGCCUUCCUAUUUUUUCUUUUCUUUCUUUCUUUUUUUUUUUUUUUUUUUUUUUGAGAUGGAGUUUCACUCUUGUUGCCCAGGCUGGAGUGCAAUGGUGCAAUCUCAGCUCACCGCAAUCUCCGCCUCCCGGGUUCAAGCGAUUCUCCUGCCUCA
rnacentral:lncRNA from 10 species